rnacentral:rRNA from 1 species
CUACGGGGUGCACCAGUGGGGAAUAUUGCACAAUGGGCGCAAGCCUGAUGCAGCCAUGCCGCGUGUAUGAAGAAGGCCUUCGGGUUGUAAAGUACUUUCAGCGGGGAGGAAGGGAGUAAAGUUAAUACCUUUGCUCAUUGACGUUACCCGCAGAAGAAGCACCGGCUAAGUCCGUGCCAGCAGCCGCGGUAAUACGGAGGGUGCAAGCGUUAAUCGGAAUUACUGGGCGUAAAGCGCACGCAGGCGGUUUGUUAAGUCAGAUGUGAAAUCCCCGGGCUCAACCUGGGAACUGCAUCUGAUACUGGCAAGCUUGAGUCUCGUAGAGGGGGGUAGAAUUCCAGGUGUAGCGGUGAAAUGCGUAGAGAUCUGGAGGAAUACCGGUGGCGAAGGCGGCCCCCUGGACGAAGACUGACGCUCAGGUGCGAAAGCGUGGGGAGCAAACAGGAUUAGAUACCCGUGUAGUC